CUAGGUGGCGAAGCUUCCUCCCAAGGGAAGGAAAUUGCAGACCUGUGAGCGCGUCUCAAGACAAGACGACGGGUUCACAUCGUAUGCUUGAUUUCUCGAGUUGGAAUCGGAAAGAAUUGCACUAUAGCAUUCGGAUUUUGAUGGUGAAUGUGGACUUUAGUCCAACACUGCAGUGUAGGGUUCCACGGUCCGGUCUAAUGGGAGACGGCGUGGUCAAGCCUGAGUUUACCCUGGUCAAGAGGUGUGCGGAGCCAUUGACAGGGAGUUCUUAUAUGAGAAACCCGGGGUCACUACACGGGAAUCUCAGUGGCCAACGUCAAGAUUAUGAAUACCUCAAUGGCUCUCAACCUAGUUGUGACGGCGUCUAAGUCGGAGAGUGUUUUUCAGGCCAAUGACUUGAGAUUGGUUUUAUCGUUCAGUUGUGCAAAUAUUGAUAUCAUUUCUGGAUUGUGAUGAGGGGGCAGAGGCCAGCUGUCGCUCUUAGGAGGGCAGUCUCUCACAAAUAUUUUUAUCACUAUUGACUGUGAUGACGGGGCGAAGCCUAGCUGUCGCUCUUAGGAUGGCAGUUUCUCACAAAAAUUUAUAUUUUCGUCGGAAAAUGUGACUUAAUUGUACUAUUUAUGAACCAUUGUGCUAUUUGUUAACUUGUCGAAUACUUAGAACUA